CGGUAAACGGCGGCCGUAACUAUAACGGUCCUAAGGUAGCGAAAUUCCUUGUCGGGUAAGUUCCGACCUGCACGAAUGGCGUAACGAUCUCCGCGCUGUCUCGGCCAGAGACUCAGUGAAAUUGAAAUCUCGGUGAAGAUGCCGAGUACCCGCAGCAAGACGGAAAGACCCUGUGCACCUUUACUACAGCUUGACAUUGGACUUUGGGCUAUCAUGUGUAGGAUAGGUGGGAGGCUGUGAAGCCGGUACGCCAGUAUCGGUGGAGCCGCCCUUGAAAUACCACCCUUGGUAGUCUAGGGUUCUAACCCAGAGCCGUGAAUCCGGUCUGGGGACAGUGUCUGGUGGGUAGUUUGACUGGGGCGGUCGCCUCCCAAAGAGUAACGGAGGCGUGCAAAGGUUCCCUCAGGCUGAUUGGAAACCAGCCGUUGAGUGCAAAGGCAUAAGGGAGCUUGACUGUGAGAGAGACAUCUCGAGCAGGGACGAAAGUCGGCCUUAGUGAUCCGGUGGUUCCGCAUGGAAGGGCCAUCGCUCAUCGGAUAAAAGGUACGCCGGGGAUAACAGGCUGAUCGCGUCCAAGAGUUCACAUCGACGACGCGGUUUGGCACCUCGAUGUCGGCUCAUCACAUCCUGGGGCUGGAGCAGGUCCCAAGGGUACGGCUGUUCGCCGUUUAAAGUGGUACGCGAGCUGGGUUUAAAACGUCGUGAGACAGUUUGGUCCCUAUCUGCUGUGGGCGUAGGAGACUUGAGAGGGCCUGCCCCUAGUACGAGAGGACCGGGGUGGACGAUCCUCUGGUGGACCUGUUGUCGCGCCAGCGGCACAGCAGGGUAGCUAUGAUCGGAAGGGAUAACCGCUGAAGGCAUCUAAGCGGGAAGCCUGCCUCAAGAUAAGGUCUCCCUCUGAGCACCUAAAUCAGGUGCUUGGCUGAAGGACCCUGGAAGACGACCAGGUAGAUAGGCCGGAAGUGUAAGUGCAGUGAUGCAUUUAGCUGACCGGUACUAAUAGUCCGUGAGUCUUAACCCU
rnacentral:rRNA from 1 species